rnacentral:rRNA from 1 species
GAAUUCGCCCUUAGAGUUUGAUCCUGGCUCAGGACGAACGCUGGCGGCGCGCCUAACACAUGCAAGUCGAACGAGCGAGAGAGAGCUUGCUUUCUCAAGCGAGUGGCGAACGGGUGAGUAACGCGUGAGGAACCUGCCUCAAAGAGGGGGACAACAGUUGGAAACGACUGCUAAUACCGCAUAAGCCCACGACCCGGCAUCGGGUAGAGGGAAAAGGAGCAAUCCGCUUUGAGAUGGCCUCGCGUCCGAUUAGCUAGUUGGUGAGGUAAUGGCCCACCAAGGCGACGAUCGGUAGCCGGACUGAGAGGUUGAACGGCCACAUUGGGACUGAGACACGGCCCAGACUCCUACGGGAGGCAGCAGUGGGGAAUAUUGCACAAUGGGGGAAACCCUGAUGCAGCGACGCCGCGUGGAGGAAGAAGGUCUUCGGAUUGUAAACUCCUGUUGUUGAGGAAGAUAAUGACGGUACUCAACAAGGAAGUGACGGCUAACUACGUGCCAGCAGCCGCGGUAAAACGUAGGUCACAAGCGUUGUCCGGAAUUACUGGGUGUAAAGGGAGCGCAGGCGGGAAGACAAGUUGGAAGUGAAAUCCAUGGGCUCAACCCAUGAACUGCUUUCAAAACUGUUUUUCUUGAGUAGUGCAGAGGUAGGCGGAAUUCCCGGUGUAGCGGUGGAAUGCGUAGAUAUCGGGAGGAACACCAGUGGCGAAGGCGGCCUACUGGGCACCAACUGACGCUGAGGCUCGAAAGUGUGGGUAGCAAACAGGAUUAGAUACCCUGGUAGUCCACACUGUAAACGAUGAUUACUAGGUGUUGGAGGAUUGACCCCUUCAGUGCCGCAGUUAACACAAUAAGUAAUCCACCUGGGGAGUACGACCGCAAGGUUGAAACUCAAAGGAAUUGACGGGGGCCCGCACAAGCAGUGGAGUAUGUGGUUUAAUUCGACGCAACGCGAAGAACCUUACCAAGUCUUGACAUCCUGCGACGCACGUAGAAAUAUGUGUUUCCUUCGGGACGCAGAGACAGGUGGUGCAUGGUUGUCGUCAGCUCGUGUCGUGAGAUGUUGGGUUAAGUCCCGCAACGAGCGCAACCCUUACUGUCAGUUACUACGCAAGAGGACUCUGGCCAGACUGCCGUUGACAAAACGGAGGAAGGUGGGGAUGACGUCAAAUCAUCAUGCCCCUUAUGACCUGGGCCUCACACGUACUACAAUGGCUGUUAACAGAGGGAUGCAAAGCCGCGAGGUGGAGCGAACCCCUAAAAGCAGUCUUAGUUCGGAUUGUAGGCUGCAACCCGCCUACAUGAAGUCGGAAUUGCUAGUAAUCGCAGAUCAGCAUGCUGCGGUGAAUACGUUCCCGGGCCUUGCACACACCGCCCGUCA